UUGAAAGGGAAACGAUUGAAGUCAGUCGUACCGACGGAAAAUCAACUCUUCGAGUGUGGACUUUGUGGACGUGCGUGAGCUUAACGGCCUCGCCGUUUGUAACGUUUGUGCUUUGGGUGUACUUUUUCGUAUGGUAGGCCAACAUCAGUUUUGAUCGCUAUAAAAUGACUGGAGGAAUGUAGCUUCGAUCUCGUAUUGAAGUGUUAUAGCCUUUAGUAGAUGUGGUGAUUGGGACUGAGGAUUGCAACGAAUAUCCUGGGCUAUCCGUCUGAUCUCUGAAAGUCGCUUAGGUGCCGAAAGCUUGCUUACGGUCAUUUAAGUUGACGGUCAAAAGGUUAGAACGUGAUUACAUUCGUUAAGGAUGUUGACGUA
rnacentral:rRNA from 1 species